CAUUGCUAAUUCAAGAGGGUGGGGACAAAUUGUACCCGCAACGUGUCAUAAGGGGAGGGCUUAAAAUAUGCUAUAUGUUUUUUUGGCUUGCAGGUUGAGGCCCGCAAGCGUUUAAUACGCGGAAUGAUGAGAGGGGGGACAACGAGCAGCUCAUUUCACUCUCCGUAGGGGAGGAGAGGAGCAUCUCAAUGGGAAAUAUGGGUGAAAAGACUGCGUGCAGCCCGAUACGGAGACGCUGAAUGGAUGGGGCCACUGCAACGUCACGCGGAGCCGCAGCCAUGAAGCGGAGGACCGAAGCGCUAGACAACAUUCUGGAGUGCACGCAGCUGGCACGCGCACAUUUAUCAUUGCGAUCCAUCCUAAAGAUCGUCGAUGCGCGUGGAUAGGAGACGUCCGUUAGAGAAAGAAAGAGAUUUUACACGAGGGACAAGUUACACAGGUCCCAGUUCAACCCCGGUUGGGUUUUUCAUAUGGUGGAAGAGGACGGGUGGCCGGAGGGGUUGGCUGUUAUCUUUGGUUAUCUAGCUGUAUGAGUGUUAUUCAUUCUUCAUAAAGCUAGAUAACCGAAAGUAACAAGAAUCCCAUUACACACCUGAAAGGCAUCACCCCACCUUGAGAUCUGUACUCCUCUCUUCUUCUCUUUUUCCUCCUAAGUCUCCCUCGUUCUCUCCUCCUUAAUCUCUGCAUCUUUUUGCGAGAGCAAGUUACAAAAUGGCCUCCAUCACUGCUGAUAGAGAAGACCAACCAUCCUUGAUGCCAGGGAAAGGAAAGAGUGAAGAAGCGGGGCAGGUCGGUUGUGUGGCUGUCGUCCUGCUGGCGUUGCUGCUCCCCUCCCCUUUGCUGCUCGCCUGCCCCCUUCCUCCCGUCACGAGAUGCAUUUUGCACAAAGCCACCAUCUUAGAGCAAGCGGGCAUUAAAUGGAAGUGGAAAAUAAGCAGGUAUGACCCACCAUCACUCUCCUGCGUCUCACACCCUCCUCUCGCUCACCUCUUCUCGUUUACACAUACUAUCCCCUCUCGCUCCCCCUGCUCGAAGGCACUGUUCAUUACAGCAGAUGUGUUUGUUAAUUGUGAAUAUCACAUGUCCUGGUUGUGA
ensembl:lncRNA